rnacentral:rRNA from 2 species
AGAGCUCGUACGCGGUUUGUCGCGUCUGCUGCGAAAUCUGGGGGCUCUGCCCCCGGUGUGCUCGGGGUUUAGGACGACUAGAGUGCGGUGGGGGAGAUAGGAAUUCCUGGUGUAGCGGUGGAAUGCGCAGAUAUCAGGAGGAACACCGAUGGCGAAGGCAGAUCUCUGGGCCGUAACUGACGCUGAGGAGCGAAAGCAUGGGGAGCGAACAGGAUUAGAUACCCUGGUAGUCCAUGCCGUAAACGUUGGGAACUAGAUGUGGGGGCCAUUCCACGGUCUCCGUGUCGCAGCUAACGCAUUAAGUUCCCCGCCUGGGGAGUACGGCCGCAAGGCUAAAACUCAAAGGAAUUGACGGGGGCCCGCACAAGCGGCGGAGCAUGCGGAUUAAUUCGAUGCAACGCGAAGAACCUUACCAAGGCUUGACAUAUACCGGAAACGUCCAGAGAUGGUCGCCCCGCAAGGUCGGUAUACAGGUGGUGCAUGGUUGUCGUCAGCUCGUGUCGUGAGAUGUUGGGUUAAGUCCCGCAACGAGCGCAACCCUCGUUCUAUGUUGCCAGCACGUUAUGGUGGGAACUCAUAGGAGACUGCCGGGGUCAACUCGGAGGAAGGUGGGGAUGACGUCAAAUCAUCAUGCCCCUUAUGUCUUGGGCUUCACGCAUGCUACAAUGGCCGGUACAAAGGGCUGCGAUACCGUAAGGUGGAGCGAAUCCCAAAAAGCCGGUCUCAGUCGGAUUGAGGUCUGCAACUCGACCUCAUGAAGUCGGAGUCGCUAGUAAUCGCAGAUCAGCAACGCUGCGGUGAAUACGUUCCCGGGCCUUGUACACACCGCCCGUCAAGUCAUGAAAG